rnacentral:ribozyme from 1 species
UGCCCAGCAACUGCCAUCCCUACCUCCUCGUGGUGCCGGCCGGAAACUAUGAGCAACCUUAGGGAAGA